CCGGGUCACCCCCAGCGCGGGGAGGGCGAUUCCCGGCGGCCCGCCUGAGCCUCACCCCCGGCGCAGGGACACAGCAGCCCGGCCCGGGGCAUCCAGCCCCGGACCCGGGGGAGUAGCCGGGGCUCAGCUCCUCCGACACAGUCCCCGGCUCACCCUGCCGGCCCGCACGGCGCCUUACAAAGGCGGCCAGUGUCUUCAUCCGCGCUUCCCAGAGGGGGAAACUGAGGCACGGAGACUUGCCUGCCGUCACCCAGAGCCAGUAACAGUCCCCCCAGUCUGCCCAGCCCAAGGAGUUUGCGCACAGAUGGCAGCUGAACAAGGGACUUUUCUGGCCCUGCUUUCCCUGGCUGGAGCCACAAGACGAGUGGCUAGUCGUAGCUGGGCCCAAGGUGGGUGGCAGGAUCACCAAGCACAUUGGAAUCGCUGGAGAAGAAAUAAUUCGCUCAUCAAAGAAUGCUGAUGAGGAUUCACAGAGCUACCUUAAGAACAUUUCAGAGGAAGGAAUCCUCCACAUGGGACUAAUCUGUGACAGAAGACCCAGAAAAUAAUUGAUUUAUGACAAGAAUGAGGAGGAACUUGGAUGACUUCAUGACAUGAUGUGUGUCAGGGCUCUAAAGACAGCUGUGCUGACCUGUAUGCAUGCAUAUUUCACCCCAUUACAGCUAAAUCAAUCUAA